rnacentral:lncRNA from 12 species
GGGGGGGGGGGGGGGGGGGGGGGGGGGGGGGGGGGGGGGGGGGGGGGGGGGGGGGGGGGGGGGGGGGGGGGGGGGGGGGGGGGGGGGGGGGGGGGGGGGGGGGGGGGGGGGGGGGGGGGGGGAACUCGGGGUCUUGGUGUCUUUUUCCCCUGCCAGGGAGAUUCGCCAUGUCUUGAUGCCCUUGUGUUCCCAUGUUGCGCUCCACCUACUCCAGCUGCUCAGCACACAGGAGCCACGCUGGGAUCUGCCUGCCCUGGCAUUCCUUGUGGAGGUCCUCGAGUGCCUGGAUUUGAGUGAAUGUGGUGACAGCAUCCUUGAGAUCCUGUCAAGGCACCUGCGGAGCAAUUCCAGGGAGAGGCGUCGCCUGGCGCUCAGAGGCCUUGUGGUGCUCAGCAAGGAUCCCUCGCUGGCCAGACCUAUACGCAGCCUGUCUCGAAGCAUUUUGAAGCUGUUGGGUGAUACAGAUGGAGAGGUGAUCGGCAUGUCCCUCUCUGUGUUCAUAAAUAUGUUCCAGAAAAAACACCUCAUGAUAUCCAGCACGGCUGCCCCAAAGCUGGCUGAGCCACUCCUGUCGCUCUUGGAAAACGACAACAGCCAUGUGCAGCUGCUUUCCAUUCACCUCUUCUGCACGGUGAUGGACCUGGUAGUGGACGAGGGAAAAAAGGCCCUGGAGAGAAUUGUCAGCCAGAGCCUGCUCCCACUCUUCUUACACUGCCAUGAUGAGAACCAGCACGUGGCCAAGGCCUCUCGGGAAACGCUGCUUUGUGUGGCCGGGUUCCUGAGGAAGACGCAUCUCCAGAGGGUGCUGAAUACAGCGCAGCUGUGGCAGUUCGCCGAGUGCCUGGUAAGGACGGCCUGGAAGCGCCAGGCUGAGGCUGGAGCAGCCCCCUGAGCGCGGCGCUCACCGUGUGCGCUUGGCAGCUGUGGCCCUGCCCAGCGCUGCACGCAGGGGCCGCACGGGCUCUUCUCCCGGCUCCUGCGCCCCUAUAUUUCUUUAUUAUAGAAAUAUAGGAUGUGUUGCAAUAGACAGCCUCCCAGGAGCUUUCUUUUGCUGCCCAGGGUCUGCAGGGCAUUGGGGAAGAGGGGGAGAAGGGUGCUUGUGCUCAUCAGGCUGCCCAGGCGUGCAGUGUUCCAGGGAAAAUGGCCAGAAGCCCCUCGGCCUUUGGUGGUUGUGCUGAAGCCUUUGUGCUGGCGGCAGAGCGGGUGGGCAGGGCCCGGGGCUGCGGGGAUCCCUGUGAGAAGGUGCCUGGAGAUGGCCACGACCCCUGUCCCAGCCAGGAGCCGCCAUCAGUGUCCUCCUGCCCGGGUGUUCCUGGCUGGAUUGCCGAGGGCUCCGUGGUGCCUCUUGCUCGGGC